GAAAAACUUUGAAUCUUAAUAUCUCUGUCGUUUCAACACCAAACUUCACAAAUUUUAUAUCAAAUUGAAGCCUUGAACUAGAAAAACACGAUCUUACCUAUUUGAGGUCCUAAAUUUGACGAAAAAUGACCGGAAAAAUCCUUUAAAAACAAGCUACUCCUGCAAACCCAUUACUGAGCUUAUUUCGACGUCCAAACUUAACCAAAAGUAGUCUAAAACACUAGAGGAGUUGUAAUAAUACCUUUCUAAGUCUCAAUAGCAAGUAAAACCUCGACUAUCACAUCGGGAAAACAGGGUACCCCGCCGGAGCUUCUAAGUUCUUGGGUUCCCGUGAACUGUUCUUUGUCCCAAAGGUGUCACUAGACUCGUGGAGCCACAAGGAAGACGAUAGUGACCUCCAAUCGCUCAAUCUGUGAGGUUUAGAAAGGUUUUGAGAGUUGUGAGCUCGGGUUGUACAGAAAAAGAGAGUUCGAGAAAGAGAGAGAGUGAAGGAGGUUUUGGGCACGUGUGUAUGUGUGUGUAUUGGUCACGGGAAUGGGUGGAAAUAAGAGAAGCAAGGCCUUGAUUGGGCCAUGAGGUUUAAAACUAGCAAUUGGUCCAAUAGAAAACGCAAAAUUCUAAUUGGACCCAAGCACAUAGGAGAUGUGGUGAUUGGUUCAUUUCCUUAGCCCAAUUUACACCUUCGUUUAUUCAUAACAUUUUCGUUACGAACCCAGUUUAAACCUAACUCACGUCAUAGCGCUCGCGACGUCAAGUAUGACUUAAUUACGUCAACGUAAAAAUAAUUUAAAACCAUAUGCAUACAUCCACAUCACAACGCCCCGAGGGCAUAAUCGUCAUUUCCACGCUUUCGAGGAUAAAAUAUAUUUUAAUUUGGGACGGGUCGUCACAGAAGCCGAACUAGAUUGUGAAUUGGAAAAUGGUGAGGAAAAUCACUCUCAUUGCUUGUUGAAAAAAUUGUACGUACGAAGUUCAUACGAAAUUGGUAAGUACAAUCAAUUUAAAAUGAUAUAUUGAGAAUAAAUUGAUAUAAAACACGCAUUUUACGAGAUUUGAUUUCGAAUAUAAAACUCUUAUCUAGAAAUAAAGAUAAAUAUCACUAUCGACUAGUUUUAUGUGACUACUUACAAUCAAUUACAAUAGCUAAUUGAUACAAUCCUAUAAUUAAGCAAAUCUUCUUGUCGCCGUUAAUAGGUUUAAUUUAUUUAUUUUUCUUGAGGUGCAGUGUCAAGUACCGCCCGCCAAACUUUGCCAUUUUCAUUCUCUCAAAUAUGAAACAUUCGAGAAAUAAGAUCGUCUGCAUGUGCAUGGGCCACCAUUUUAACAAUUCUUUGCCCAUUAGCUUGUGGGCCCGCCAUGCCUUCAUAGAACACGAAUUGAGAUGCAACAAGUGGAAGUCUUGGUGGACGACCGGAAGAAGGUUC
rnacentral:lncRNA from 1 species